CCUAUCCUAUGUUUUACAUGUCAUAGGAAACUGCCCGCUUUAAGUGGGAGGAAGGUGGGGAUGACGUCAAAUCAGCAUGGUUCUUACACCUUGGGCGACACACGUGCUACAAUGGAAAGCACAAAGGGACGCCAAAGCGUAAGCUGGAGCAAAUCCUUUAAAACUUUUCUCAGUUCGGAUUGAGGGCUGCAACUCGCCCUCAUGAAGCUGGAAUCGCUAGUAAACGUGGAUCAGCCACGCCACGUUGAAUACGUUCUCGGGUCUUGUACUCACCGCCCGUCACGCCAAGAGAGUCGGUAAUGCCCGAAGGACCUCGCAAGAGGUACGAAGGCAGGACCGAUAAUAGGGGCGAAGUCGUAACAAGGCAUCCGUAGCGGAAGCUGUGGAUGGAUCACCUCCUUU
rnacentral:rRNA from 1 species